rnacentral:rRNA from 1 species
AUUGAACGCUGGCGGCAGGCCUAACACAUGCAAGUCGAGCGGAUGAAGGGAGCUUGCUCCUGGAUUCAGCGGCGGACGGGUGAGUAAUGCCUAGGAAUCUGCCUGGUAGUGGGGGAUAACGUCCGGAAAUGGGCGCUAAUACCGCAUACGUCCUGAGGGAGAAAGUGGGGGAUCUUCGGACCUCACGCUAUCAGAUGAGCCUAGGUCGGAUUAGCUAGUUGGUGGGGUAAAGGCCUACCAAGGCGACGAUCCGUAACUGGUCUGAGAGGAUGAUCAGUCACACUGGAACUGAGACACGGUCCAGACUCCUACGGGAGGCAGCAGUGGGGAAUAUUGGACAAUGGGCGAAAGCCUGAUCCAGCCAUGCCGCGUGUGUGAAGAAGGUCUUCGGAUUGUGAAGCACUUUAAGUUGGGAGGAAGGGCAGUAAGUUAAUACCUUGCUGUUUUGACGUUACCAACAGAAUAAGCACCGGCUAACUUCGUG